UACGUAGGGUGCAAGCGUUGUCCGGAAUUAUUGGGCGUAAAGAGCUCGUAGGCGGUCUGUCGCGUCUGCUGUGAAAACCCGAGGCUCAACCUCGGGCCUGCAGUGGGUACGGGCAGACUAGAGUGCGGUAGGGGAGAAUGGAAUUCCUGGUGUAGCGGUGGAAUGCGCAGAUAUCAGGAGGAACACCGAUGGCGAAGGCAGUUCUCUGGGCCGUAACUGACGCUGAGGAGCGAAAAGCGUGGGGAGCGAACAGG
rnacentral:rRNA from 1 species